rnacentral:rRNA from 1 species
AUGAAGAGAGCACGCGGCGGGGCCAUCGUCCUCUUCUUGUUACUCGCUGUCGAUUUCGGCAUUGCCCAAAACACCAUCGGCAAAGCAGAUGGAUUCCAUGUCGGGGUGAUCCUCGACCUGGGAUCGCCGGUGGGAAAGGUGGCGCGAACCAGCGUUUUGCUGGCCGUUCAAGACUUCUACGCGGCCCACCGGAACUACAGCACCAAGCUUGUUCUCCACGUUAGGGACUCCAUGGGCAGUGACAUCAAGGCCGCAUCAGCAGCUAUUGAAUUGCUAGAGAAUUACAAAGUGCAAGCCAUCAUUGGUCCCCAGAAAUCAUCAGAAGUUGUGUUCAUAUCCAAACUUGGAAAUAUAACCCAAGUCCCCAUAGUAUCAUUCACAGCAACAAGCCCCUCUCUCACUUGUGAUAGUAUGCCAUAUUUUGUACAAGCGACACCAGAUGACUCGGCUCAGGUGAAUAGCAUUGCCUCGCUCGUACAAGCCUAUGGAUGGAGAGAAGUAGUGGCAGUAUAUGAUGACACUGACUAUGGGAGAGGCAUUGUACCAUACCUCACUGAUGCACUUCAAAAAAUUGAUGUUCGUGUUCCAUAUCGCAGUGUCAUCCCAUCAUCGGCAACAAGUGAGACCAUUAUAAAAAAACUCAUUGAGUUGAUGGCAAUGCAAACAAGGGUAUUUAUUGUUCAUAUGUCAUCCACUAUGACUUCCCUUCUUUUUAUGAAGGCAAAAGAGCUAGGGAUGAUGAACCAAGGAUUUGCGUGGAUUACCACAAGUGGAGUGGCAAACAUCAUGGACACACUCAAUCCAAGAGUCAUUAAGGCAAUGAAUGGUGUUCUUGGAGUAAGGUAUCAUGUUUCCAGAUCGCAAGAACUUGAUAACUUAUCCAAAAGGUGGAACAAAAUGUACUUGCAGGAUAACCCAGAUGAAUCACCCUCCAAUAAACUAAGCAUUGUUGGGCUAUGGGGCUAUGAUACGAUAUGGGCAUUGGCACGAGCAGCAGAAAAGGUUGGAGUAUCCAAUACCACAAAUAAGCCACUAUUGUCCAUUAAAAACUCCACAUGCUUGGAAUCCAUGACUAUUUCCACUAAGGGUCAUGAACUCUUAAAGACAAUUGUACAAAAUAAGUUCAAAGGUUUCAGUGGUGAGUUUGACCUUACAUAUAGACAACAACAUAAAGCUUAUGUGUUCCAGAUAAUAAAUGUUGUUGGAAGAGGUUGGAGAGAAAUUGGGUUUUGGACUAUGAAAAGUGGACUUUCACGACAGUUAAAGCAAGAUGGCUUCAAAAAAACAGGACAACAGUCAAUGCAUGAUCUAAAUCCUGUAAUUUGGCCUGGAGAGUCAACCAAAAUACCAAUGGGCUGGGAAAUUCCUGCCGUUGGCAAGAAGCUUAGAGUUGGUGUGCGCUCCAGCAAAAUUCCGGAGUUCAUAAAGACAUACAAAGAUCCUGUCAAAAAUGCAACAACAGUGAGCGGCCUUACAGUUGAUAUAUUUGAGGAGGCGGUAAAGAGGCUACCUUUUCCACUUUCUUAUGAGUACCUAGAAUUUGACACAACUGAUACAAGGAGCUACAAUGAUUUUGUUUAUCAUGUUUAUCUUCAGGAAUACGAUAUAGCGGUUGCAGAUAUUACUAUAAGAUACAACAGAUCAUUAUAUGUCGACUUCACUGUACCAUACACAGAAUCCGGAGUAGGGAUGAUUGUUCCAGUGAAGGAAAACGUGAUGAAGGAUGUGUGGCUUUUCUUGAAACCAUUGAGCACCGAGAUGUGGAUUGGCAGCAUCAUAUUAUUUAUGUACACGGGAGUUGUUGUCUGGCUGCUGGAGUAUCUAAAUGGCAGUGAACAUGUGCAUGGUCCCUUUUCGCUCAAACAACUGGCGACUACAAUAUUCUCCAUUUUAGAAGAGAAGGAAAAGCUGGAAUGCUUUCUACCUAGAAUUGUUUUGCGUGUAUGGAUGGUUGUACUUUUGGUACUUGCAGCAAGUUAUACAGCAAGCUUUGCAUCAAUGCUUACUGUACAUAAGCUUUCACCAACAGUGAAUGAUGUCCAGGAACUCCAAAAGAAUGGAGAAUAUGUAGGGUUCCACCAAGGUUCUUAUAUAGAGGGUCUACUAGUGGAAAUUGGUUUUGAUACAUCUAAGCUCAAGUCCUAUGCAACACUUGAAGAUUUCUAUAGUGCUCUUUCUAAUGGAAGCAUUGUUGCGGUUGUACUUGACAUCCCAUACAUCAAAUUGUUUCUCGCAAAGUACAACAAAGGUUACGCAAUGGUGGGGCCUAUUUACAAGAGUGCAGGUUUUGCAUUUGCGCUUCCCAAGAAUUCUCCACUAUGUGUUGAGAUGUCAAGGGCGAUACUCAACAUAACAGGAGGAGAUAUUAUCAUUCACUUUGAAAAGAAAUGGAUAGAUCAAAAUAGCCAUGAAAAUGAUGGCACACUCGAUGGUUCAGGCGCUAUCACUUUUGAAAGUUUUGGGGGAUUAUUCCUCCUAACUGGAGUUGUGACAACAUGUUCCCCUUUUGUAGCGAUGUUGAUGAACCGCUACAAAGAAGAUCAACAAGAUCCAGGGAACAAAGGAGAUGACCAGAAUGAAUUCGGACACAAGCAAGUUAAGAAAAGGAGACAUGUGAAGAACAAAGAGAUGAAAACAGAAAAUGAAUUGAGAGAGAUAAACAACACUGUUAGUGCCUCACAGUUUGAGCAGAAAUGGUAA